CCCUUAGAUGUCCUGGGCCGCACGCGCGCUACACUGAUGCAUGCAACGAGUUUAUAACCUUGGCCUGAAAGGUCUGGGUAAUCUUUUGAACGUGCAUCGUGAUAGGGAUAGAUUAUUGCAAUUGUUAAUCUUGAACGAGGAAUUCCUAGUAAACGCGAGUCAUCAGCUCGCAUUGAUUACGUCCCUGCCCUUUGUACACACCGCCCGUCGCACCUACCGAUUGAAUGGUCCGGUGAAAUCUUCGGAUUGAGACUUUGAUUUGUUUACUCAAAACGCUGUUUCAAGAAGUUGAUUAAACCUUACCAUUUAGAGGAAGGUGAAGUCGUAACA
rnacentral:rRNA from 1 species